UAUUGGACAAUGAUAAGUUAACGAGAUCGAAUUUUGAUAGCUGAUAUCAAAAAUUGAAGAUAGUCCUAGAGCAUGAACGGAUCUUGUACAUGCUGAUAGAUCCGACACCAGAGGAGCCUGUCCUGAAUGCACGCAGUGCGGUAUGAGAUUCUUAUCAGAAGUGGCUUAACGAUCGCACCACGAUGCAUUGCAUAAUGCAGG
rnacentral:lncRNA from 1 species